AGAACGAACGCUGGCGGCAGGCCUCAAACAUGCAAGUCUAGGGGGUGUAGCGAUACAUCACCGGCGGACGGGUGCGUAACACGUGGGAAUAUACCUUUUGGCUCGGAACAACGCAGGGAAACUUGCGCUAAUACCGAAUGUGCCCUUACGGGGAAAGAUUUAUCGCCAAAGGAUUAGCCCGCGUAGGAUUAGCUAGUUGGUGAGGUAAUGGCUCACCAAGGCUCCGAUCCUUAGCUGUUCUGAGAGGAAGAUCAGCCACACUGGGACUGAGACACGGCCCAGACUCCUACGGGAGGCAGCAGUUGGGAAUCUUGGACAAUGGGGGAAACCCUGAUCCAGCCAUGCCGCGUGAGUGAUGAAGGCCUUCGGGUUGUAAAACUCUUUCGACGGGGACGAUAAUGACGGUACCCGUAGAAGAAGCUCCGGCUAACUUCGCGCCAGCAGCCGC
rnacentral:rRNA from 1 species